GCUGAUAUCAAGAACCAAAGACGGACUAACUCCUGGCUCUGCCUUCGAUUCAUAACAAGUCUUUCUCUUUGGGAUAAGUGUGUUACUCACAAAAGUGAGCCACAGCUGCCAAACUUGAUUGGCUUCUCUGCGAUCCUCCCAGAGAAAGGAGUGCUGUGAAACGUAUGUCACCUUCAAAGAAGUCUGCACUUUCACUGAUGACGACAUCGCAUUGUAUGCACCGCGUCAGGAUGAGACUGCAUUAUCUACUCCUUGCCGUAAAAACAUGAACAACUGCCCCAUUUUCAUUGACAGUUAUCAGACUGUGCCCUUUUAAUUUUAUUUUCUAGCUCAAACAUCAGUUUACAGUAACAUGAUCUUCCAUGGGCCCUCCAGGGGAGAAGGACAAUUCGGACAUUCUUGCUGCAACCUGACCCUCCGCGUCUGCAGAAUCCCACCAACACCUGGUGUUACUGCCUUAUCUACACUGAAAACACAUUAGAGGUCUUCUCUCCAUUCAGCCUCCACGCAUCUCUCUUUGUGCCUUUUCUUUCAGACAGAGAAGCACAGUCUUACAACAUUGCCCAGGCUGGUCUUGAACUCCUGCGCAUAAGCAACCUUCUUGCCUCCGCCUAUGGAGCAGCUGGACUACAGGAGCAUAACGGACUCAGCAAGUCCUGCCAGAACCUUUUGCUCUACCCCUUCGGUGCUCUGCUUUGUGUAAACCCUGCUUGCUG